UGAACGCUGGCGGCGUGCCUAAUACAUGCAAGUCGAGCGAACAGACGAGGAGCUUGCUCCUCUGACGUUAGCGGCGGACGGGUGAGUAACACGUGGAUAACCUACCUAUAAGACUGGGAUAACUUCGGGAAACCGGAGCUAAUACCGGAUAAUAUAUUGAACCGCAUGGUUCAAUAGUGAAAGACGGUUUUGCUGUCACUUAUAGAUGGAUCCGCGCCGCAUUAGCUAGUUGGUAAGGUAACGGCUUACCAAGGCAACGAUGCGUAGCCGACCUGAGAGGGUGAUCGGCCACACUGGAACUGAGACACGGUCCAGACUCCUACGGGAGGCAGCAGUAGGGAAUCUUCCGCAAUGGGCGAAAGCCUGACGGAGCAACGCCGCGUGAGUGAUGAAGGUCUUCGGAUCGUAAAACUCUGUUAUUAGGGAAGAACAAAUGUGUAAGUAACUAUGCACGUCUUGACGGUACCUAAUCAGAAAGCCACGGCUAACUACGU
rnacentral:rRNA from 1 species